rnacentral:rRNA from 1 species
AUUGAACGCUGGCGGCGUGCUUAACACAUGCAAGUCGAACGGUGAACGAGGGAGCUUGCUCCCUCCGGAUCAGUGGCGAACGGGUGAGUAACACGUGAGCAAUCUGCCCUGGACUCUGGGAUAAGCGUUGGAAACGACGUCUAAUACCGGAUACGAGGCGUGGGGGCAUCCCCAACGCCUGGGAAGAACUUCGGUCCAGGAUGAGCUCGCGGCCUAUCAGCUAGUUGGUGAGGUAACGGCUCACCAAGGCGACGACGGGUAGCCGGCCUGAGAGGGUGACCGGCCACACUGGGACUGAGACACGGCCCAGACUCCUACGGGAGGCAGCAGUGGGGAAUAUUGCACAAUGGGCGCAAGCCUGAUGCAGCAACGCCGCGUGAGGGACGACGGCCUUCGGGUUGUAAACCUCUUUUAGCAGGGAAGAAGCGAAAGUGACGGUACCUGCAGAAAAAGCACCGGCUAACUACGUGCCAGCCGCCGCAGUAAGAC